rnacentral:rRNA from 1 species
UACGUAGGGGGCAAGCGUUGUCCGGAAUCAUUGGGCGUAAAGCGCGUGUAGGCGGUCCGGUAAGUCCGCUGUGAAAGUCCAGGGCUCAACCCUGGGAUGCCGGUGGAUACUGUCGGGCUAGAGUACGGAAGAGGCGAGUGGAAUUCCCGGUGUAGCGGUGAAAUGCGCAGAUAUCGGGAGGAACACCAAUUGCGAAGGCAGCUCGCUGGGACGUUACUGACGCUGAGACGCGAAAGCGUGGGGAGCGAACAGG